UACGGAGGGUGCAAGCGUUGUUCGGAAUCAUUGGGCGUAAAGCGCGUGUAGGCGGCUUGGCAAGUCGGUUGUGAAAGCCCGGGGCCCAACCCCGGAACUGCAUCUGAAACUGCCUGGCUAGAGUCCCGGAGAGGAAGGCAGAAUUCCCGGUGUAGGGGUGAAAUCCGUAGAUAUCGGGAGGAAUACCAGCGGCGAAGGCGGCCUUCUGGACGGUGACUGAUGCUGAGACGCGAAAGCGUGGGGAGCAAACAGG
rnacentral:rRNA from 1 species